CGGUUCAAGAGGGAAAGAGAGACCCUAAGCUCCUCCUUCAGCCCUCUCACUUGCUCCGCCCGUUCCUCACUGCCUCCAUGGUUGCCUUCAAUUUCUCGCUGAUUUCUAGAAUCGCCCUCACUAGCUCCAGCAGCUCCUGCUUCUCCCUGGCCUCCUUGGUCGCGGCGCUCAUCUACGCCGAUCUCGGCCUUGAUGGGGCGAUCGGAGAGCGAGGCGAGAAGAUGAGUGACGUUGUCGGAGAGCGUGUGGGAGUGGGAAACGGCUUCACUGCAGAGGGAGAAGAGGUCGGCGAAGUAGUGGUGGUGAGAGAGGAGGUAGGAUUGGAUUUUGGACUUGAUUUUGAGGGAGUGGGAGUCGAGGCGUUGGAUGAGGAGGUGGAGAUCCUAUGCUGAGAGCGAUGUGGUGGGGUCGCUCAGGUCCUGCGUCGAGAGGAGCUCUUGAAUGUUGAUUGAGUCGAGGAGGGCGUCCAUUCCAGCUAAUUAGACUGUCAAGAGUGGCCGGUCGGAGGAGAGCCUUAGGGUUUUUCAAGGUCAGUCGGCUAAUGGAUUUGAUAGUGCACAGACUCUAUAGCAAAAAGGAGGUGUUCCUUUAGAGAGCUUGUUAGGUUUGUUGCGGCUGCACAUAGCAUGGAAAAGAUUAGAGGAUGUACAUGACAUGAUUCUCAUCUUGUUGAAGUUUCGAGAACUCUGCGCUCAUGGUAAAGGAGAAAUGAGAAUGUAGUAGUAGUUCUAUAUGUAGAUUAGGAGUAAUAUGUAUUGUUAUUAUAUAUUUUUAUUCUUACACUUAAAUUGAUUUUGUAAUUGAUGUGGAUUAUUGACAUUUAAUGAAGAGUUACUUUUCUUGUU